CUGGCUCAGGACGAACGCUGGCGGCGUGCCUAAUACAUGCAAGUCGAGCGGACAGAUGGGAGCUUGCUCCCGGAUGUUAGC
rnacentral:rRNA from 1 species